UCCUGGCUCAGAUUGAACGCUGGCGGCGUGCCUAACACAUGCAAGUCGAGCGGUAACAGGUGUAGCAAUACAUGCUGACGAGCGGCGAACGGGUGAGUAAUGCUUUGGAAUCUUCCCAGUAGUGGGGAAUAACCAGUCGAAAGAUUGGCUAAUACCGCAUACGUCUGUAAAGGGAAAGCGGGGGCUCGUAAGACCUCGCGCUAUUGGAUGAGCCAAAGUCGGAUUAUCUAGUUGGUGGGGUAAUGGCCUACCAAGGCGACAAUCCGUAGCUGGUCUGAGAGGACGACCAGCCACACCGGAACUGAGACACGGUCCGGACUCCUACGGGAGGCAGCAGUGGGGAAUAUUGGACAAUGGGGGAAACCCUGAUCCAGCGACGCCGCGUGUGUGAAGAAGGCCUGCGGGUUGUAAAGCACUUUUAGUGGGGACAAAAAGCUACGGAUUAAUACUCUGUGGUCUUGAUUUAACCCAAAGAAAAAGCACCGGCUAACUCUGUGCCAGCAGCCGCGGUAAUACAGAGGGUGCGAGCGUUAAUCGGAAUUACUGGGCGUAAAGCGCGCGUAGACGGUUUUGUAAGUCAGAUGUGAAAUCCCUGGGCUCAACCUGGGAACUGCAUUUGAGACUGCAUGGCUAGAGUAUCGAAGAGGGAAGUGGAAUUUCCGGUGUAGCGGUGAAAAUGCGUAGAUAUCGGAAGGAAACACCAGUGGCGAAAGCGACUUCCUGGUCGAAUACUGACGUUCAUGUGCGAAAGCGUGGGGAGCAAACAGGAUUAGAUACCCUGAUAGUCCACGCCAUAAACGAUGACAACUAAAUGUUGGGAGGGUCUGCCUCUCGGUGUCACAGCUAACGCGUUAA
rnacentral:rRNA from 1 species